rnacentral:rRNA from 1 species
UAAUACGGAGGAUGCGAGCGUUAUCCGGAUUUAUUGGGUUUAAAGGGUGCGCAGGCGGUCUGUUAAGUCAGCGGUCAAAGCCCGGGGCUCAACCCCGGCCCGCCGUUGAAACUGGCAGUCUCGAGUUGGAGAGAAGUAUGCGGAAUGCGCGGUGUAGCGGUGAAAUGCAUAGAUAUCGCGCAGAACUCCGAUUGCGAAGGCAGCAUGCCGGCUCCACACUGACGCUGAGGCACGAAAGCGUGGGUAUCGAACAGGAUUAGAUACCCUGGUAGUCCACGCAGUAAACGAUGAAUGCUGGCUGUCCGGGGGGAUUGACCCCUGGGUGGCGAAGCGAAAGCGAUAAGCAUUCCACCUGGGGAGUACGCCGGCAACGGUG